rnacentral:rRNA from 1 species
GAUGGAACGUGGCAGUGAGACAGUGGGGGAUAAGCUUCAUUGUCGAGAGGGAAACAACCCAGACCAGCAGCUAAGGUGCCUAAAUAACGCUCAGUGGAAAGGAUGUGGGAUUACACAGACAGUGAGGAUGUUGGCUUAGAAGCAGCCACCAUUUAAAAAAUGCGUAAUAGCUUACUCAUCGAGUGAUCCUGCGCCGAAAAUGAUUGGCGAUCAAGCGUUAUACCGAAGCUCUGGACUUUGCCGCAAGGCAGAGUGGUAGAAGAGCGUUGCAUGCGCGUCGAAGGGCGAUGGCGACUGACCCUGGAGCACAUGCAAGUGAGUAUGCAGACAUGAGUAACGUUAAGCCGGGUGAAAUCCCCGGCCGCCGUAAACCCGAGGUUUCCAGGGCAACGUGUUUCGUCCCUGGGUUAGCCGGGACCUAAGCCGAGGCCGAGAGGCGUAGGCGAUGGACAUCAGGUUAAUAAUCCUGAGCUCGCAACCCUUAAACUGGGGGGACGCAUGAGAAAAGAUGACUAGGUUAUUGAAUUCCGAGUUGAGUCCACGGACUCAGCGCAUCAUUGGAUCGAGUGCCAAGAAAAGCCCCAGCGUAUGCUAAGCGACCCGUACCGCAAACCGACACAGGUGGGUGGGUAGAAUAUACCAAGGCGUAAGAGUGAAACCUGGUUAAGGAACUCGGCAAAUUAGCCCCGUAACUUCGGAAGAAGGGGUGCCUGCAGCGAUGCAGGCCGCAGAGAAAUGGCCCAACCGACUGUUUAUCAAAAACACAGCACUCUGCAAAGACGCAAGUCGAAGUAUAGGGUGUGACACGUGACCAAUGCCGAAAGAUUAAGGCAAGGGGUUAGCCGCAAGGCGAAGCUCUAAACCCAAGUCCCGGUGAAUGUCGGCCGUAACUAUAACGGUCCUAAGGUAGCGAAAUUCCUUGUCGGGUAAGUUCCGACCUGCACGAAUCGUGAAACGAGUUGGGCACUGUCUCAACCAGGCGCUCAGUGAAAUUGUAGUGGCGGUGAAGAUGCCGCCUACCCGCAGAAGGACGGAAAGACCCUAUAGACCUUAACUGUAAGCUGUCAUUGUUUCUUCGGUUUUAAUGCUCAGAGUAAGUGGGAGACGCUGAAGACGCCCUUUAGGGGGCGUCCGAGUCAUCAAUGAGACACCACCCUUUGAAACUGGAGGAUCUAACCCUGAGCCGUGAAUCCGGCCAGAGGACCGUGUCAGCCGGUCAGUUUUACUGGGGCGGUAUCCUCCCAAAGAGUAACGGAGGAGCGCGAAGGUGGGCUCAGCCCGGUUGGCAACCGGGUGUCGAGUGCAUGGGCAUAAGCCCGCCUAACUGUGAGACCAACAAGUCGAGCAGAUGCGAAAGCAGGCCCAAGUGAUCCGGCGGUAGAAAGUGGAAUUGCCGUCGCU